AGAAGUUGGAUAGAAAUAGAGUGAGUGAAUAAAUUCAUGAAAUUGCAUUGCAAAUACGAUAUAAUAGUAUUUUCGCGAAAAGAACAGGAGCAGAGAUUACCGUGGCAUGUUGUGGAAGAAAAUCUUCAUAAACGUCAAUACGUUUCUUUUCAUGGAGAUCGUUCUCAUUCAUUAAUGGCUCACUUCGUUAAUUAUAUUCAGAGCACCAGGAGGACCUAUUGAAGCCUAACCAUUAUAUUCUGUCUCUUAACAGUGUUGCCUGGGCUCACCCUUGCUUUGAUCAUACAUAAAUCUUGAAGCAUUAGAUCUUCAGGUUUUCCACUAUAUAUCGGUAAAUGCCUGGUGUGUCAUGGUCAUGUAAAAUUACAAAUUUAAACCAAAAUCUACUUAGCCUCAUUGAAAAAUGCAAAUCAAUGCUUGAACUGAAGCAACUUCAUGCUGUUGUGAUCUCCUUCGGCUUAUCUCAAGAUGACCCAUUUAUAUCCAAAAUUCUUUGUUUUUCUGCUCUAUCCAGUUCAGGCGACAUUAACUAUUCCUACAGGGUUUUCUCUCAGCUUUCCAGUCCAACAAUUUUUAACUGGAAUACAAUCAUAAGAGGCUACUCAAAUAGCAAAAUUCCAGUUAAUUCCCUGUCUAUUUUUCUAAAGAUGCUGCGACUUGGGGUUGCACCGGACUACUUUACAUACCCAUUUCUUGUGAAGGCAUCAGCCCGCCUUUUAAACCAGGAAAUUGGAGUAUCUGUGCAUGCUCAUAUUAUACAAACUGGGCAUGAGUCUGACAGAUUUAUUCAGAAUUCUUUGAUUCACAUGUAUGCUUCUUGCGGGAAUAUUAUGUGGGCUCAAAAGGUAUUUGACAGUAUACAGGGAAAAAAUCUGGUUUCAUGGAAUUCCAUGUUGGAUGGUUAUGCUAAUUGUGGAGAAAUGGUUACGGCUCAGAAAGCUUUUGACUCUAUGUUAGAGAAGGAUGUUCGGUCAUGGAGCUCUUUGAUCAACGGUUAUGUUAAGGCUGGGGAAUAUAGCGAAGCUAUGUAUAUCUUUGAAAAGAUGCGGGCUGCUGGGCCUGAAGCCAAUGAAGUUACCAUGGUGAGUGUAUCAUGUGCUUGUGCACACCUGGGUGCUUUAGAGAAGGGAAAAAUGAUACACAAGCACAUAGUGGACUGUGGAUUGCCACUGACAUUGGUCUUGCAGACUUCUCUUGUGGACAUGUACGCCAAAUGUGGGGCAAUAGAGGAGGCUUUGCUUGUAUUCCGUAGGGUCUCUAAGAGUCAAACUGAUGUGUUGAUUUGGAAUGCAAUGAUUGGAGGUCUUGCGACACAUGGGUUAGUUGAAGAAUCCCUUAAAUUGUUUAAGGAAAUGCAAACGGUUGGUAUCCAGCCUGAUGAGGUCACGUACUUGUGCUUGUUGGCUGCUUGUGCCCAUGGAGGUUUAGUUAAGGAAGCAUGGCACUUCUUUGAGAAUCUUAAUAAAUGUGGCAUGACGCCUACAAUCGAGCACUAUGCUUGCAUGGUAGAUGUGUUGGCACGUGCAAAUCAAUUAACCACGGCAUACCAAUUUAUUUGUCGAAUGCCCAUAGAGCCAACAGCUGCCAUGUUAGGUGCCCUGCUUAGUGGGUGUAUCAACCACAGAAAUUUAACUCUUGCAGAAACAGUAGGCAAGAAGCUUAUUGAGCUAGAACCAAAUCAUGAUGGUAGAUAUAUUGGCUUAUCUAAUGUUUACGCUGUGGACAAACGCUGGGAUGAUGCAAGAAGCAUGAGAGAAGCUAUGGAUAGAAGAGGGGUGAAAAAAUCACCCGGGUUUAGUUUUGUUGAAAUAUCUGGAGUCCUUCACAGAUUCAUUGCUCACGAUAAAGCGCAUCCUGACUCAGAGGAAACUUAUUGUAUGCUAAAUUUUGUUGUCCGUCAAAUGAAACGUAGUUGGUACAAAGACAAGGAAAAGUCGCUGAAGGAUACAUCAAUGGGAGAUGACUUAUUGACUUGGUUAUCUUUUUAGCAGUAGACGGUAUUAAAAGUUUGUAGCUAUUUACUUUUUUUUGGAAGAAUUAUCUCAAAUGCUCAGUGUUUUUUAGCAAAAUGAGAAGUCCUCUAAAUUUAUGGGUUUAGCAAAAUGCCGUCACUCACCUGAAGUCAUCUAGUCUCAAAUGCAUCUGCUUUUAGAGAACUCGUGUCCCGCGGAGAUUAGAGGACGCAUUAGCAUCAAGUUAUUCAUUGUCAUUGAUGACAUAGCUAUUGACGUUCUACAUCUUGAUUUGUUUGCGUAUCCUUCUGAACAUCUUGUCCUUGCUCUUUGCUUUUUCCCCACAGAAGAAUAUACAUACCAGCAAUGACCAAUGCAGAUCCUACAACACUGUUUAUUGCAGACAGAGAUACAUCAGGUGCAACGGAAAGUAGAAAGGGCGGAAAUCACAAAAGAAUGAGAUAAGAAAUCAACCUCCCCAGAUAAAUUUCUUCCUUUAGUACAGAGAAAUCAAGGAUGGCCACAAAUAUCUGUAUAAGGGGGGUAAAAGCGGCGGUGAAAACUGGACCACUUUGUUUGACACACCAUGACAUUGCCACAUAGCACAAGCCCGACCCUACCAGUCCCUAAACUCACACAAAUUUGAAUGUUAAAGGCUUGGACAAGCAAUUAGGAUUGCUUAGUUCUACUUGAAAUAAAAACCAAUGUUUCAAUUUGAAGUUAGAAUUUGC